GGGGGCGCCAUGGCUUCGACGUGGUCGGUUCUCCGGGUGAGCUGCAAGCGGAGGUCUCCGGUCGGCCUCCUAAAACAACCGGAACCAAACGCAAGUGCGGAAAACAACCUCGCACUCGCUGCCUAAGUUCUAGGACUUAGACCAGCGUGUCGCCCCGGGGAGGCCUGCGACCCGGGGACGGCAUCAACUAGCAGGCUCGGCGCCGAAGGAAAGCCACUCGCCGGAGGCGCGACAUCGCAGGAGGGCUAGCUCGUCGGUAGGUCGGUCGCCAACCGGCCGGCGGGCGAAAGCAAACGGCGGCCUAUGCUUGUAGACGCUCAUACCGGUGCGUCCGCGGACGCGGGUUCGAUUCCCGCCGCCUCCAUAA
rnacentral:tmRNA from 1 species